UCUAUUAUGGCAGAUAAGUGCGGUGGAUUUAAGCCCCAUAUAUAAAGUCAAUUAACUUUUUUUAGAA
rnacentral:tRNA from 1 species